rnacentral:rRNA from 1 species
CCUACGGGUGGCAGCAGUGAGGAAUAUUGGUCAAUGGGCGCGAGCCUGAACCCGCCAAGUAGCGUGAAGGAUGACUGCCCUACGGGUUGUAAACUUCUUUUAUCAAGGCAUAAAGUGAGGCACGUGUGCCUUUUUGUUUGUACUUUAUGAAUAAGGAUCGGCUAACUCCGUGCCAGCUGCCGCGGUAAUACGGAGGAUCCGAGCUUUAUCCGGAUUUCUUGGGUUUAAAGGGUGCGUAGAUAGGUUGUGAAGUCAGUUGUGAAAGUUUGCGGCUCAACCGUAAAAUUGCAAGUGAUACUGGCAGUCUUGAGUACAGGUGAAGUAGGCGGAAUGCGUGGUGUAGCGGUGAAAUGCUUAGAGAUCACGAAGAACUCCGAUUGCGAAGGCAGCUUACUAAACUGCCACUGACAUUGAUGCUCGAAAGUGUGGGUAUCAAACAGGAUUAGAUACCCCAGUAGUC